GUAAUGGUCUCAAGACUGCGGAGCAUGUUCACGCACAGCAUGGACACCACUUCAUGUAGGGGCACUGGACUGCCUAGAGUUGGAGGAAGGGACCCUGAACUUACUGUGUCUCUGUUUGAUUGAGCCUGGGCAUGAGAUAAAACACGAGGUCAUCUGCAAUGGCACUGGUGCUGUGGCUGUAUCAGCAUGGCUCUGAUGUCCCUUCGGGGCAGGCAACAGUUCAGGGAGGACUUACAAGCAAGCUCUGAUGGAGUCUCGCUCUGUCGCCCAGGCUGGAGUGCAGUGGUGUGAUCUCGGCUCACUGAACUUCCCCUCCCCAGUUCAAGCGAUUCUCCUGCCUCAGCCUCCCUAGUAGCUGGGAUUACAGGCCCCCACCACCAUGCCUGGCUAAUUUUUAAAUAUUUUUAGUGGAGAUGGGGUUUCACCAUGUUGGCCAGGAUGGUCUUGAGCUCCUGACCUCAAGGGAUCCACCCGCCUCGGCCUCCCAAAGCACUGGGAUUACAGGUAUAAGCCACCGCGUCCGGCCUACUCCCACUUUGUUUCCAAGGAUAGUCAAGUGAAGGAGUGGGAGUGGAGAAGGAACAAAUAAAUCUGUAACUGCUUGUGAUCAAUUAGUUGUUAAUGUCAAUACCACUGCACUGAGAAGGCUGAGGUUCACAAAGGUGAAGUGAUUUAUCUAAGGUUUUAUGUCUGGUUUGUAGAGAGCCAGGACCCAAAUCCAGACCUUCCCCUACAGACCCUGACCCUUCCUCUGCCUUGUGCCGAUGCCUUGAGGGGACCCUUC
rnacentral:lncRNA from 1 species